CGAACGCUGGCGGCGUGCUUAACACAUGCAAGUCGAACGGAAAGGCCCUGCUUUUGUGGGGUGCUCGAGUGGCGAACGGGUGAGUAACACGUGAGUAACCUGCCCUUGACUUUGGGAUAACUUCAGGAAACUGGGGCUAAUACCGGAUAGGAGCUCCUGCUGCAUGGUGGGGGUUGGAAAGUUUCGGCGGUUGGGGAUGGACUCGCGGCUUAUCAGCUUGUUGGUGGGGUAGUGGCUUACCAAGGCUUUGACGGGUAGCCGGCCUGAGAGGGUGACCGGCCACAUUGGGACUGAGAUACGGCCCAGACUCCUACGGGAGGCAGCAGUGGGGAAUAUUGCACAAUGGGCGGAAGCCUGAUGCAGCAACGCCGCGUGCGGGAUGACGGCCUUCGGGUUGUAAACCGCUUUCGCCUGUGACGAAGCGUGAGGGACGGUAAUGGGUAAAGAAGCACCGGCUAACUACGU
rnacentral:rRNA from 1 species